GGAGGUAAAGGCAAGGCUGGGGGGGGGACGGGGGCGCUUCCAGAGCAGCUGCAGGGUGCAGGGAUGUGGUUGGGGUGAGGACGGCUCCGAUCCAUGGGGAUGGUGUUGGGGUGGGGACGGCACAGCCCCCCCAGGCUGCCCCCAGCCUUCCUUUUCGCUCCUUUUUUCCCUCUCCCCCAGGCUCCCAGCACCCCCCCGCCGCUCCCGGCCAAGGUGGGCUCCUCGUCAGCCCCCCAGGGGCCACUUAUCCGGGCCGGGAGCGGAGGGGCAGCCCCCGAGGGUCCCUCCAGCCAGCGUGAAGCCGUCCCCCCCGAGCCCAAGUACCAGCAGCUCGUGCGCUUCCACACCUACGCCGAGCCCCGCGAGCGCACGGAGCCGGAGGAGCCCAUCCCCUUCUACGCCAUGGGCCGGGGCUGCGAGCCCCCCCCCGAGGAGAACGUCUACUCCGAGGUGGCCCCAGCCCAGAGGGAGCUGCCCCCCCUGCUCCCGAGGGGUGCGCGGGGUCCCCUCUCCACGCUGCCCCCCCCCAAGGCGAGGGCGCCCACCGAGCCUGCGCACCGCCGCCUGUUCCGCAGCUUCUCCAGCCAAGCUUCCAGGAGGAGGCAGCCCCCGGCGGCUCCCAGCGUGGGUGGGGGGCUGAGAGGAGCCCCCAGCCCACCCCUGGAGGCCCCAAGGAACCCCUCCAUGGAGUUUGACGACCCCAUUUACGGGCAGAGGAAGAGCAGUGCCACGAGAACUGCAGCCCCCCUGGGGCAGGAGGGGCAGGAGAACAUUUACGAGCAGCUUUCCGGAGAGGAGCGACCCUGAAAGGUCCACGGGAAAAACCUCAACCGCCUGCCCAAAACACAUCCCCCUCCUCUGCACCCCAACGAGCCCCUGGUUGUGGGGCACAGCCCCACGGAAGGAGCAGCCCCCCCAAAGCAGAAACCGGCCCCUCGGCAGCCCCAAACCCAUGGGCAGCACCCGAGGGCUCCGCAGCGGGAUCCGAGCGCCCUUCCCACGGGAGCGAGAGGGCUCCGAGGGGGCAGGAAGGAGGCGCCGAAUUCAUCUUCGCAGAAGGAGGAGGCUCGGAAUAGAAGCAGGGCGGAGGAGGAGGAGGCUGCUCUAGGAAAAACAGGCGGCUUCCAAGCAGGGCUGCUGCCUCCGGAGCCUGACACCGAGCUGGCCGCGAGCCGGAGAGGUGCCGCGAGGCCAAAACUGCCCGCAGGUGUCUCCAGGCUCAGCCACAAAAAGACACAAAAAAAAGCCACAAAAAGCCAGGAAAAAAGCCACGAAAAGACAGAAAAAAAAAGCCACAAAACCCAGAGCUGCCCCGUGGUGUUCCCUGCACCCCCUGAACCCCGAGCUCCUCGCCCUGGCCGCGGUGCCAGCGGCUGCGGGGCUCCAGCGGGGUCCUGGUGCGGGCACAAGGGAGGCAAAAACCCGAGCUCGGACGUGUUGGAGCCUCAAAGUGAUGAGGGGAAGGGAGGCCGGGGGUUACCUCUGGGAAAAUCGCCGCUGUUUUCCCCCCCCCCCGGAGCCUUUCCUCGGUUGCUGUCGCCCGGCCGAAAGCAGAGCAAGAGGCGGCCGCAGCCAUCGCCCUCCGCGCAGCUCCCCUCUGGUGUUAAAAAUGAGCAAUUACACGAGGAAACGGGAAAAAUUCGAGCCUCUGCGAGCUGCCCUCGUCCCCAGGCCACCAGGACAAGGUGGGCGAAACCUGGCUUUUUUACCAAAAAAAAUAACAGAGCAGAGAGCAAAAGCCACGGAGCUGCUGCUCAGGACCACCGCGUUUGGCAAAGGCACCAAAAUGAGCGGUUUUGGACCAGUUCUGCCCCAAAACACCUGGGGCAGCACCGCCUCGAGCCCCCCGUGCUGGAAACAGGCGGGGGUUGGUUCAGUUCAAAGUUUAUUCCUUUAUCAAAUCUCUUUGCAGAGGAUUUUCGGUGUACAGAGAAGAAACGAAUAAAUUACCGGACAGGAACUUUAUUCCGCUCGUU
rnacentral:lncRNA from 1 species